CAGUAGCCACGGUAAUACAGAGGGUGCGAGCGUUAAUCGGAUUUACUGGGCGUAAAGCGUGCGUAGGCGGCUUUUUAAGUCGGAUGUGAAAUCCCUGAGCUUAACUUAGGAAUUGCAUUCGAUACUGGGAAGCUAGAGUAUGGGAGAGGAUGGUAGAAUUCCAGGUGUAGCGGUGAAAUGCGUAGAGAUCUGGAGGAAUACCGAUGGCGAAGGCAGCCAUCUGGCCUAAUACUGACGCUGAGGUACGAAAGCAUAAGGAGCAAACAGGAUUAGAUACCCCAGUAGUCCCUGUCUCUUAUAC
rnacentral:rRNA from 1 species